rnacentral:tRNA from 1 species
GGGGAUGUAGCUCAGUUGGUAGAGUGCUUGCCUGCAUGUACAGGGACCUGGGUUUAAUCCUCAGCACCACA